CUGGGAACAAGAAGUUAAAUCAUUAAUCCCAUUGGAUGGAUGAUUUGGAUCUCAAACUGAUUUAUUAUAGGUUCCAGAUCCAGCACGGACCCCAAUGUGGGGCUCAAACCCACGACCCUGAGAUUAAGACCUGAACUGAGAUCAAGAGUUGGAUGCUCCACUGACUGGGCUACCCAGGU
rnacentral:lncRNA from 1 species